rnacentral:lncRNA from 1 species
GAAAAUAAAAUAAACUUUUUAAAUUACAAAUACAAUCAAGCACAAAUAAUACCCAUCUGAAUAACUAAGAACUAAGAUCAGAAUUAAUAAUUUAGUAGGUAAACAAGAAAAGGAAAUGGAACUGCUGAGAACAGAUGAGUUUGGCGUAGAAUAUUGGUUCAAUUUGUAACCAGUUGGAAAUCGAACCAGCCAACCUCCCAACAAACCAAAUAAUAGAAAACGUGGUAGAGUGGUAGAGAUGGAUCAUUACUUCACCAAGCAUGGGCUAUUCAAUAAUUUAGUAUUUCUGUUAUUUCACUGAGAUAUGAGAAUCUGGAAAAGUAUAGAUAAGGUUAAUAAUGAUGAAGACCCACCAAAAGAUUUAAACUUUGAUACAAUCACAGGACCAAACCAGCACGAAAGGGGAAAAGAAUUAUGAAAGAACGGUCCGGGCCUCACAAGCCGCCAACAGAUUUAUAUCAGUGGUACUCAAAUCGGAAUAAAACAAAUGACGUUUCUUUGCCUUUUCUGCUUCUAGAAAGUCCCUACUUAACAAAAAACCAACAAUGCAGCGGGUUGCAACCAGCACCCACAGGAACAUGGAUAAUGUGGCAUGCAUGACAAAGAAGAGAGACACGUAUGGAAGGAACGGAAAAUGAAAGGAACAGCGCAAUAGCGCACGUCAAGAUUUAGUCCUUUAUAUCAACUUGAUCAACAACAACUAGCAGUAUUACAAGAAACCAUUAACCACACAAUGAUGGUUAAAUAAAGAUCAUUUUAAUGCAGUCAUGAACUAAUGAAAAUAAGCAAGUAUCAAAGGAGAUAUAAAAUGCGAGGAAGAAGGUUCAUCACGUCAGGAAUAGUUAUUGAAUGAGGCUUGUCAAAGUAAAGUGACUGCUCCUCAGAACGUACAAUUUUAAUCCUAGUGAUGUCACAAUGAUAAAUUGAUGAUUCUCAUAAAUGAGAUGGAUGAUACCUUGAUUUUCAGAAAUACUUCACGAUCCCAGUACAAACAAUAGUCAACAUGGAAGCAACAAGUGAUACUGAAGAUGUUCGGUCCCUGGUUACCCUGCGGCAAACAGAUAUAUAACCAAGCAGGUAAAAGCUCAACUGAAACAGCGGAGCAUGAGAAAUACCUCCAAAUUUCAACGAAGAAAACUGGAUAGGUAUUAUCUAGAUAAUGUAUCUCCAUCAUCUUGAACUAAGCUACUGAAGAUAAAGAUAGGUACGAUAGAUGUUAGUUGUACAACUAAAAUCUUACAAAUCUCAACUACUAGUAAAAUAUGUAGAAACUAAAUUCAAUGAAGGGGAAAUAAGUAGCUAAAUGAUAAAUCAUAAUUCCAGUAAAAAUAUGCAAGGGACAGCAAUGCAGAUAAUAUAUGGAAGGAGAACUGAAAAAAAUUCUCAUGCAAAAAUCAUAAAGAUAGACAGCUAUGCAUAAAUGAUUUCAUAAUACCUGAAUGUCAGGUCACUUCAGGUAG